ACGAGUGNUCUAACCCGCAAGGGAGAUAGCCGCCUAUGGUAUGACUGGUGACUGGGGUG
rnacentral:rRNA from 1 species